rnacentral:rRNA from 1 species
GAGACCGGCGCACGGGUGCGUAACGCGUAUGCAAUCUACCUUUUGCAGAGGGAUAGCCCAGAGAAAUUUGGAUUAAUACCUCAUAGUAUGUGAGAAUGGCAUCAUUUUCACAUUAAAGUCACAACGGCAAAAGAUGAGCAUGCGUCCCAUUAGCUAGUUGGUAAGGUAACGGCUUACCAAGGCAACGAUGGGUAGGGGUCCUGAGAGGGAGAUCCCCCACACUGGUACUGAGACACGGACCAGACUCCUACGGGAGGCAGCAGUGAGGAAUAUUGGACAAUGGGCGCAAGCCUGAUCCAGCCAUGCCGCGUGCAGGAUGACGGUCCUAUGGAUUGUAAACUGCUUUUGUACAGGAAGAAACACUCCCUCGUGAGGGAGCUUGACGGUACUGUAAGAAUAAGGAUCGGCUAACUCCGUGCCAGCAGCCGCGGUAAUACGGAGGAUCCAAGCGUUAUCCGGAAUCAUUGGGUUUAAAGGGUCCGUAGGCGGUUUAGUAAGUCAGUGGUGAAAGCCCAUCGCUCAACGGUGGAACGGCCAUUGAUACUGCUAGACUUGAAUUAUUAGGAAGUAACUAGAAUAUGUAGUGUAGCGGUGAAAUGCUUAGAGAUUACAUGGAAUACCAAUUGCGAAGGCAGGUUACUACUAAUGGAUUGACGCUGAUGGACGAAAGCGUGGGUAGCGAACAGGAUUAGAUACCCUGGUAGUCCACGCCGUAAACGAUGGAUACUAGCUGUUGGGCGCAAGUUCAGUGGCUAAGCGAAAGUGAUAAGUAUCCCACCUGGGGAGUACGUUCGCAAGAAUGAAACUCAAAGGAAUUGACGGGGGCCCGCACAAGCGGUGGAGCAUGUGGUUUAAUUCGAUGAUACGCGAGGAACCUUACCAAGGCUUAAAUGUAGAUUGACCGGUUUGGAAACAGACUUUUCGCAAGACAAUUUACAAGGUGCUGCAUGGUUGUCGUCAGCUCGUGCCGUGAGGUGUCAGGUUAAGUCCUAUAACGAGCGCAACCCCUGUUGUUAGUUGCCAGCGAGUCAUGUCGGGAACUCUAACGAGACUGCCAGUGCAAACUGUGAGGAAGGUGGGGAUGACGUCAAAUCAUCACGGCCCUUACGCCUUGGGCUACACACGUGCUACAAUGGCCGGUACAGAGAGCAGCCACUGGGUGACCAGGAGCGAAUCUACAAAGCCGGUCACAGUUCGGAUCCGAGUCUGCAACUCSACUCCGUGAAGCUGGAAUCGCUAGUAAUCGGAU